UUUGUAUUUUUAGUAGAGACAGAUUUAACCGUGUUAGCCAGGACGGUCUCGAUCUCCUGGCCUCGUGAUCCGCCCGCCUCGGCCUCCCAAAGUGCUGAGAUUACAGGCUUGAGCCACUGCGCCCGGCCUAAUUUUUGUAUUUUUAGUAGAGACGAAGCUUCACCAUGUUGGCCAGGCUGGUCUCAAACUCCUGACGUCAAGUGAUCUGCCCGCCUCAGCCUCUCAAACUGCUGAAAUUACAGGCGUGAGCCACUGCGCCCGGCCUCAUUUAAUCUUCAUUACCUCCAUAAAGACCCUGUCUCCAAAUACAACCACAUUGGAGGCUCUGCAGGGGGGUUGGAAAGCCACACUUGGAAACGCUCAUGCAGGAAAUAUUUCCAAAAUCACACAAGAACUGGAUUCAUAAAGACACCUGUUUCUGCUGCUGCUGCUGCUCUUGCUACACACAGAUGCUGCUCCUUUCACCAUUAUCAGUGCUAGAUACUGGAUGUUGUUGCUAGAACCACUGCUCCUUCUGAAAAGUCAUUGCCACCAUGGCUGCCCCCUGUCCCAGCAUUGAUUCCACAAAAUUCCUACUUCUUUUGAUUCACCCUUCAGGCUCAAAGUCCAAUGCAAGAGAAUUCUGAUCGAUAGAGCUGAGUUAACAUGUCUAUGCUCUGGGUAUAUGGGAGCCUGGGAAAGUGAUUUUUAAAUUUCUAUAUUGGGUGGUACUCUUGGUACAUCACGACUCAUAGGAUGGGAAUUCUUCAAACAUGGGAAAUAACUCUCUAUAUUCCAUAAAACCUGUACAAUGUCAUAAUAAAAAUGAUGUACUUAAUUUUUAAAAAGUUUUAAUUGACACACAAUAAUUGUACAUAUUUAUUGGAUACAAUAUGAUGUAUUAAUACCUGUAUACAUUGUGUAGUGAUCAAUUCAAGGUAAUUAACAUAUCCAUCAUCUCAAACAUUUAUCAUUUCUUUAUGGUGGGAACAUAAAAAUCCUUUCUUCUAGCUAUUUUGAGAUAUACCUUAUUUUUGACUAUAGUCACCCUACUGUAAAAUAGGAUACCAGCAUUUAUUCUUCCUAAUUGUAACUCUGUACCCGUUGACCAUCCUCUUCCCAUCCCCUCCUUCUCCCUACCCUCCCCAGUCUCUGGUAACUGCUGUUCCAUUAACUACUUCUGUGAAAUCAACUUUUUUAGAUUCUACAUGUAAAUGAGAACAUGUGAUAUUCAUCUUUCUGUGUCUGGUGUAUUUCCCUUAACAUAAUGUCUUCUAGGUUCAUCGAUGUUGUCACAGAUUUUGCUUUUAUCUUUUUUUUUUUUUUUUUUUUUUGAGAUUGAGUUUCACUCGUCAUCCAGGCUGGAGUGCACUGGCACGAUCUUGGCUCACUGCAACCUCCGCCUCCUGGUUUCAAGUGAUUCUCCUGCCUCAGCCUCCCGAGUUGCUGAGACUACAGGCGCACACCACCACACCUGGCUAUUUUGGGUUUUCGCCAUGUUGGCCAGGCUGGUCUCAAACUCCUGACCUCAGGUGAUCCACUCCCCUUGGCUUCCCAAGGUGCUGGGAUUACAGGUGUGAACCACCUCGCCUAGCCCUACCAUAUUUUUUUUAUCCAUUCUUCUGAUGAUGGACACUUAGGUUGAUUCUAUAUCUUGACUAUUGGGAAUAAUGUUGCAAUAAACAUGAGAGUGCAGAUAUUUGUUUGACAUAUUGAUUUCAUUUCCUUUGGAUAUAUACUCAAUAAUGGGAUUGCUGGAUCAUAUGGUAGCCCUGUUUUUAAUUUUUUGAGGAGCCUCUAUAUUGUUUUCCAUAAUGGCUGUACUAAUUUAUAUUAUCACAGUGUGAAAGGGUUCUCUUUUCUCCACAUUCGUUGCCCACACUUAUCCUUUUUUCUUUUUUCUUCUUUUUUGAGACAAAGUCUGGCUCUAUUGCCCAGGCUGGAUCCUUUGUCUUUUUGAUCAUUAAUUUGCACUUUAUAUUCUUGCUUACUAUAAUAAAUGUUGCUUACCAUAAGUCUCUUUUAAUCUUAGAUCCACCUACAUUUCCCACUUCUUUUCAUGUCAUUUACUUGUUGAAGAAAUGGGAUAUUCUUAUGAAUUUUCCACAUUUUAGAUUUGGAUGGUUGCAUCUUCAUGGUAGUUUAACAUGUGCCUUUAUUUCUUUUCCUGAUUACUGGUAGUUGGUUCUAGAUGUGGCUGCUUUUGUUUGUUGUUGAUUUUUUUGGUUUUACCAUAGUGCAUCUUCGUGGAGAUUUUUAUUUAUUUUUCCUAAUUGCAAUUGCAAUUUGUAGGGUAUAUUAUAUUUGUAGAUUCAUUUGUCACUUCUGGAAAAUUUUAAGCCAUUACCUCUUGAAAUGUUGCCUCUUACUCUCACUUCUAAAACUCUAUUUUUUUUUUUUUUUUUUUUUUUGAGACAGAGUCUUGCUGUGUCGCCUAGGGGCUGGAGUGCAGUGGCACGAUCUUGGCUCACUGCAACCUCUGCCUCCCAGGUUCAUGCGAUUCUCCUGCCUCAGCCUCCCGAGUAGCAGGGAUUACAGGCAUGCACCAUCACACCUAAUUUUUGCAUUUUUAGUAGAGACAGGGUUUCACCAUAUUGGCCAGGCUGGUCUCGAACUCCUGGCCUCAAAUGGUCUGCCCGCCUUGGCCUUCCAAAGUGCUGGGAUUACAGGUGUGAGCCACCAUGCCCAGCCAGCGUUUUUGAUAUUUUAAAAGCCUGUUAGACGUUACAUAUCAUUAAAAAAUGUACACAAGUUAACAGAAAUAUUCUUGAUUUGGCUGCCAUUAAAUUAACUUGGUAUGAUGCGAAUUAUCACAUUGUAGUUCUGACAGCUAUAUAUCUUUGAUUAAUAGAAAUGUUAUUACAUAAUGAGAGCAAUAUAUUUGACAAAUAAAGCCAUUCAAAACACAUUGUCUAUGGAGAGAAGAAAUUUAAAGGGUUUCCUGGUGAUGAAAUAUUGAAAUUAUUCUAUAAUACCACUUAACCCCCACUGCUCCCACCCUCCUGUCAUUCCUCUGCUUGCAGGGUCUAUGAAAAACAUAUAUGCCCCAGAUGUUUCAUGGUUCAAGGGCAAUCUAAAUAGUGAGUCAAUUUCAUAGGCCAUGUCUUUCAUGGGAAGAGUAGUUGCUCCAGAUUAUCCAGGCUCAAAUUCCAUUAGAGGAACAAGAAUGGAUCAAUUGUAAUAUAAUCCUACUUUGCUACAAUAGAGCUCAACACUCAGAAACCAAGUGUAUUAAAGAUUACUGACCAGUCUUAAUGCUUAAAGUCAAGUAUGCCUGAUAGGAGUUUUAUAGUUUAAUAGACUGCAGAAUGUAAUCAGCAUUGGUGCAUUCAAUUAGCUGACUUCCUCAUUUUAAAAUCAGGGGAUUAAAGCUAAAGCUGGGCAUGGUGACACAUGCUGGUAAUCCCAGCACUUUGGGAGGCCUAAACGGUAGGAUCACUGGAGCCCAGGAGUUCGAGACCAGCCUGGGC
rnacentral:lncRNA from 1 species